rnacentral:rRNA from 1 species
UACGUAGGGCGCAAGCGUUAUCCGGAAUUAUUGGGCGUAAAGAGCUCGUAGGCGGUUUGUCGCGUCUGACGUGAAAGUCCGGGGCUCAACUCCGGAUCUGCGGUGGGUACGGGCAGACUAGAGUGAUGUAGGGGAGACUGGAAUUCCUGGUGUAGCGGUGAAAUGCGCAGAUAUCAGGAGGAACACCGGUGGCGAAGGCGGGUCUCUGGGCCGAUACUGACGCUGAGGAGCGAAAGCGUGGGGAGCGAACAGG